CUUGGUCAUUUAGAGGAAGUAAAAGUCGUAACAAGGUUUCCGUAGGUGAACCUGCGGAAGGAUCAUUAAAAAUAUGAACCGGACCGGUCCGCUGCUUGCAGCGGGCUGCGAAGGGAGAUAUUAUACACCCUGUACUUUGUUUACCUUUGUUGCUUUGGCGGGCCGUCCGUUUAGGCGUUGGCUCCGGCCGAUCGUGCCCGCCAGAGGACCCAAACUCUUUUAUUAGUGAUGUCUGAGUACUAUAUAAUAGUUAAAACUUUCAACAACGGAUCUCUUGGUUCUGGCAUCGAUGAAGAACGCAGCGAAAUGCGAUAAGUAAUGUGAAUUGCAGAAUUCAGUGAAUCAUCGAAUCUUUGAACGCACAUUGCGCCCGCUGGUAUUCCGGCGGGCAUGCCUGUCCGAGCGUCAUUAUGACCAAUCAAGCUCUGCUUGGCCUUGGGGCCUUGGUCAUUUAGAGGAAGUAAAAGUCGUAACAAGGUUUCCGUAGGUGAACCUGCGGAAGGAUCAUUAAUGAAUUAAAGUCGGUCUUCUGUGCUGGUGGCAACACAUGUGCACGUUGAUCGCAAAUCCACACACCUGUGCACCUUUGACUUUGGGAUC
rnacentral:rRNA from 1 species